AAGGUAGCGUAAUAAACAGCCUUUUAAUUGGAGGCCAGUCAAUGGCAACACGGAGAAUCACUGUCUCUAAUGUGUCUACAAAACUUUACUUUUGAGUGAAAAGGCUCAAAUAACCAAAAAAGACAAAAAGACCCCGCGGAGCUUUACUUCUAAACCUUAGGCCAAUACAAAGCCACCGUAAAAAGUUUGGUUGGGGCAACCUCGGAAUCGUCCAACCUUCCGAUCUUUUUCUUAAACCACAUAUAAAAUUUAAUAUGGACCAAAAAGAAGCUACCCCGGGGAUAACAGCGUAAUCCAACUUGAG
rnacentral:rRNA from 1 species